rnacentral:lncRNA from 13 species
AUGCUGAAACUACACUUCAAGGACGUAUUGCUCGUCCACCCUGUGUAUUUUACAAGCCUCGAAACUGUACCCCUGCUACUUGGAGCAGACUUGAUGGAUCGGUUACUCCCAUUGAUGGAUUGGAAAACAAACCAGGUAUGGUCACAGGCUAGAGUGCCUUCUCCACCGACCACACUGUCUUCCCCUAACGCUAGCUGCAACGCAGUCAUUCACGAGGGGUAUCUGUCGAAAGCACCCCUUGGGAAAAAUAUGUUUAGGAAACACUUGGUGCAGAAUCCGAUCCAAGGAUAUAUUACGAUAUCUCGACACAUUCCAUCAGGCAAUCUGAUUGAAAAUUAUUUUCAUGAUUUCGAGCCAGCUGUCUCUGUGAAUGAGCAACUUCCCUCCUCCUUGCAGUCGUGCAAUAUGGUCGUUGAGAUAAACUUCUCUUGCCCUUCGGACACUUCCGCAAACACUGCGGCCGUCCCAGCAAGAAAAACAUUGAUGCGCCGAGUAUACUCUGCUUACGAUGACACACCUUCCACUUUGUGGGGGACUGUCAACCCUUACAAGGACACUAAUGGCGUCAGUCCAGCAACUGACCCGAUGACUCCCACUGGUGAAACACUUUGCGAUAUCACAGACCGAUAUCCUUGUCUCAGUUUGCAGGUACUGAAGAGGUUGCCACAUGCGGACGCGGUGGUGACUGACAGACCUCGACAGCCACUGAGGGAGUUGAAGCACAAACACCAGGAGAUUUGGUUGAAAGGUUACAGCCACUCUCAUAAUAACGCGGCCACUGACAACUCGUACAUAGGGUCCGAACUUUUCGUUUGCGCCUCGGAUACCAACACCACCCGCUGGUGGGGGGGUCCCGAGACACAAAGGGGGGGACUAGUAGCCCAGACCCAUGAUGAGCCUUAUCGAGGCCGGUGGGGGGGUCGAGACUACGGGCAACACCGUACGAGACCGCCAGAGCAUAAAUCAAAUCUAAUUGUAAACUCCCCUUUAAGGACAGUGAGGAGCAGACAGGCCCCUAGACGGGGAUUAUCUUAG